rnacentral:rRNA from 1 species
CUCAUUUGACUUUGGAAGCUAAGCAAGUUUGGGCCUGGAUAGUACUGAGGUGGGACCCUACCUAGGAAUACCAGGU